rnacentral:rRNA from 1 species
UGGGCAACCUGCCCUCAGCUCUGGGAUAACUCCAAGAAAUUGGGGCUAAUACCGGAUAUGACUGCUGACCGCAUGGUCUGGUGGUGGAAAGAUUUAUCGGCUGGGGAUGGGCCCGCGGCCUAUCAGCUUGUUGGGUGGGGUAGUGGCCUACCAAGGCGACGACGGGUAGCCGGCCUGAGGGNGGCGCCGCACNGNGCNGACACGCCG